rnacentral:tRNA from 1 species
GCCUCCGUGGCUUGUGGUAGAGCAUUGCCUUGGUAAGGCAAAGGUCGCGGGUUCAAAUCCCGCCGGAGGCU